rnacentral:rRNA from 1 species
GACGAACGCUGGCGGCGUGCUUAACACAUGCAAGUCGAACGGAAAGGCCCUGCUUUUGUGGGGUGCUCGAGUGGCGAACGGGUGAGUAACACGUGAGUAACCUGCCCUUGACUUUGGGAUAACUUCAGGAAACUGGGGCUAAUACCGGAUAGGAGCUCCUGCUGCAUGGUGGGGGUUGGAAAGUUUCGGCGGUUGGGGAUGGACUCGCGGCUUAUCAGCUUGUUGGUGGGGUAGUGGCUUACCAAGGCUUUGACGGGUAGCCGGCCUGAGAGGGUGACCGGCCACAUUGGGACUGAGAUACGGCCCAGACUCCUACGGGAGGCAGCAGUGGGGAAUAUUGCACAAUGGGCGGAAGCCUGAUGCAGCAACGCCGCGUGCGGGAUGACGGCCUUCGGGUUGUAAACCGCUUUCGCCUGUGACGAAGCGUGAGUGACGGUAAUGGGUAAAGAAGCACCGGCUAACUACGUGCCAGCAGCCGCGGUGAUACGUAGGGUGCGAGCGUUGUCCGGAUUUAUUGGGCGUAAAGGGCUCGUAGGUGGUUGAUCGCGUCGGAAGUGUAAUCUUGGGGCUUAACCCUGAGCGUGCUUUCGAUACGGGUUGACUUGAGGAAGGUAGGGGAGAAUGGAAUUCCUGGUGGAGCGGUGGAAUGCGCAGAUAUCAGGAGGAACACCAGUGGCGAAGGCGGUUCUCUGGGCCUUUCCUGACGCUGAGGAGCGAAAGCGUGGGGAGCGAACAGGCUUAGAUACCCUGGUAGUCCACGCUGUAAACGGUGGGUACUAGGUGUGGGGUCCAUUCCACGGGUUCCGUGCCGUAGCUAACGCUUUAAGUACCCCGCCUGGGGAGUACGGCCGCAAGGCUAAAACUCAAAGGAAUUGACGGGGCCCCGCACAAGCGGCGGAGCAUGCGGAUUAAUUCGAUGCAACGCGUAGAACCUUACCUGGGUUUGACAUGGAUCGGGAGUGCUCAGAGAUGGGUGUGCCUCUUUUGGGGUCGGUUCACAGGUGGUGCAUGCCUGUCGUCAGCUCGUGUCGUGAGAUGUUGGGUUAAGUCCCGCAACGAGCGCAACCCUUGUUCACUGUUGCCAGCACGUUAUGGUGGGGACUCAGUGGAGACCGCCGGGGUCAACUCGGAGGAAGGUGGGGAUGACGUCAAGUCAUCAUGCCCCUUAUGUCCAGGGCUUCACGCAUGCUACAAUGGCUGGUACAGAGAGUGGCGAGCCUGUGAGGGUGAGCGAAUCUCGGAAAGCCGGUCUCAGUUCGGAUUGGGGUCUGCAACUCGACCUCAUGAAGUCGGAGUCGCUAGUAGUCGCAGAUCAGCAACGCUGCGGUGAAUAAGUUCCCGGGGCU